CAGGUUUACCUGUGUGACUGCGUACCUUUUGUAUAAUGGGUCAGCGACUUAUAUUCUGUAGCAAGGUUAACCGAAUAGGGGAGCCGGAGGGAAACCGAGUCUUAAUUGGGCGUUAAGUUGCAGGGUAUAGACCCGAAACCCGGUGAUCUAGCCAUGGGCAGGUUGAAGGUUGGGUAACACUAACUGGAGGACCGAACCGACUAAUGUUGAAAAAUUAGCGGAUGACCUGUGGCUGGGGGUGAAAGGCCAAUCAAACCGGGAGAUAGCUGGUUCUCCCCGAAAGCUAUUUAGGUAGCGCCUCGUGAAUUCAUCUCCGGGGGUAGAGCACUGUUUCGGCUAGGGGGCCAUCCCGGCUUACCAACCCGAUGCAAACUGCGAAUACCGGAGAAUGUUAUCACGGGAGACACACGGCGGGUGCUAACGUCCGUCGUGAAGAGGGAAACAACCCAGACCGCCAGCUAAGGUCCCAAAGUCAUGGUUAAGUGGGAAACGAUGUGGGAAGGCCCAGACAGCCAGGAUGUUGGCUUAGAAGCAGCCAUCAUUUAAAGAAAGCGUAAUAGCUCACUGGUCGAGUCGGCCUGCGCGGAAGAUGUAACGGGGCUAAACCAUGCACCGAAGCUGCGGCAGCGACACUCAGGUGUUGUUGGGUA
rnacentral:rRNA from 1 species